rnacentral:lncRNA from 1 species
UUUUACUAAGUUGCUUAUAUUUCUUGUUCAUGUUUUACUAAAUUGCUUUCAUUUUAUAACACGUUAUCAGCACGAAGCUCUACUAUCUCAAGAAGAUCUUUGAGAAGAUUAAGGUAAUUUUUCUCCGCUCUUUUUUUUUUUAAUUAUGUCUGACAUUAUGAAAAGAAAGUUCGUUGCCCUUGAAAUUUCGGGCAACAACUAUAUGA